GUGCUCACUUGAGCAGUAUGUAUACUAAAUUUGGAACAACACAGAGAAGAUUAGCAUGACCCCUGUGCAACACUGACACACAAAUUUGUGACAGGUUCCAUAUUUUU
ensembl:snRNA U6 U6 spliceosomal RNA